GGCUCAGUAGAUCAUUUGGAAAAGCACUCGUCUAGCAUACAAGAAUCGAGGGUUCAAAUCUCACCUGAGCAC
rnacentral:tRNA from 1 species